rnacentral:rRNA from 1 species
GGAUGCGAUCAUACCAGCACUAAAGCACCGGAUCCCAUCAGAACUCCAAAGUUAAGCGUGCUUGGACGAGAGUAGUACUAGGAUGGGUGACCUCCUGGGAAGUCCUCGUAUUGCAUUCC